rnacentral:rRNA from 1 species
GGAUCCAGACUUUGAUCCUGGCUCAGGACGAACGCUGGCGGCGUGCUUAACACAUGCAAGUCGUACGAGACGAUUGAAAGCUUGCUUUUGAAAGUCGAGUGGCAAACGGGUGAGUAACGCGUAGACAACCUGCCGUAAAGAUGGGGACAACAGUCCGAAAGGACUGCUAAUACCGAAUGUUGUGGAACUCCCGCAUGGGAGCUCCACUAAAGAUGGCCUCUACUUGUAAGCUAUCGCUUUACGAUGGGUCUGCGUCUGAUUAGCUAGUUGGUGGGGUAACGGCCUACCAAGGCGACGAUCAGUAGCCGGUCUGAGAGGAUGAACGGCCACAUUGGAACUGAGACACGGUCCAGACUCCUACGGGAGGCAGCAGUGGGGAAUCUUCCGCAAUGGGCGCAAGCCUGACGGAUCAACGCCGCGUGAGUGAAGAAGGGUUUCGACUCGUAAAGCUCUGUUGUCGGGGACGAACGUGGAGAUGGUGAAUAACCAUUUCCAAUGACGGUACCUGACGAGGAAGCCACGGCUAACUACGUGCCAGCAGCCGCGGUAAUACGUAGGUGGCGAGCGUUGUCCGGAAUUAUUGGGCGUAAAGGGAGCGCAGGCGGGAGAUCAAGUCUAUCUUAAAAGUGCGGGGCUCAACCCCGUGAGGGGAUGGAAACUGGUCUUCUUGAGUGCAGGAGAGGAAAGCGGAAUUCCUAGUGUAGCGGUGAAAUGCGUAGAUAUUAGGAGGAACACCAGUGGCGAAGGCGGCUUUCUGGGACUGUAACUGACGCUGAGGCUCGAAAGCGUGGGGGAGCGAACAGGAUUAGAUACCCCCGGUAGUCCACCGCCGUAAACGAUGAAUGCUAGGU